UUUUGAGAAACUUAUGAUUCUUUGAGCCCCUUUACGAGAAAAUGAUUAUCGUUUGAUUGGUAAUAAAUAUAAAAGAAAGUUAAAGUAAGCAGCUGUAAAAGUGAUACCAGGAGAAGAAAGAAAAGUAAUAUCUGUCACAUGCAUACAGAUAUUUAAAAUAAUAUGUUUUUCUUUUUUUCUUUUUUUUUUUUUCUUUCUUUUUAAUAUUAUCAAAAUGAAAAAUGAUGAUUAUAUUUCUUGUCGUUGAAACAUCGUUAGUUUGUCUCUAUAAAUAUCUUUAGCAGAGGUAAGCGACCUAACAUCGACGCAAAUUAUUGGUCAAUCGGAUAACAAUAGAGACCAUACCAGCCCUCGAUAUUUUUUAGUAUAUUCGAUCGAAUUCCUUCAUUUUAACGGAUAUAUUCUGCGAUUCAUGGAAACGGAAAAAUGUUUACAAGCAAUGCAAAAACUCGUCAUUCGUGUGGACAAUCAGCUAUAAGUGCCAUUAGAAGCUUGCCAAAAUUAUGCCGCAAAUCUAUCUAUCCAUCGGAUAACUCAAGACGAACGAUUUCACUGUUGCAACGUAACUACUGCCAACAAGUGGACGAUUUAAAAUAUCUCAGUCUUCUCGUUGUUUCGAAAUUCUCUUUGCACAAAUUUUCGUUAAAGAUCUAUUGCCAAAUUCUGUGCUUUUCUACCCAUUGUCCUUAUUCUUUCUUGAUUUUUAAUAAUACAUGCAAACAUGAAAGACAAUCAUUGGAAUUAAACAAAAAUUUAUUAACAUAUUGAUAAUUAUUAUAUAUUCGUUGGAUCGUUCUUUGGAUCAGAUAAGGAAAAUAAGUAAAAUAAGAGAAAAAAAUGAAAAAAGGGAAAAAGAAAAGAAACAAUAAAAAGAAAAAAGAAGACUAAAAGUAAAUAAGUAAGAAAGUUGAUUCUGACGGGAAAUCAGUAGUAAAGCCAGUGUAAAGCACCUGUCGCACGUUGGCGACAGUGGAAAUAACUUUGUUUCAUGAGACGAAAAGUAUCUACCAACGUGCGGACCGUGCUAUCAAUACGGCUGACAGAGAAUAACGCGAAUGCGUAGGUGAAAAUAAAUUAAUCGUUUGUACCAAUUACUGAAAUAAUGGGUACCUCGGGUCGUGACAUGAUAAUGUCCCAGAUUUUGAUUAAAGAUCCAGAAUUUCCUUCGUCUAGCUUAAAAACGAAUAUUACUUCAACCAUAUAUCGUAAAGAUGAUUAUUUUCGGCUGUUUAUUAAGAAUUUGUGACUUCGUAGUUUAUCUAUAUAGACGAGAAGAGGAAGAAUAAGGAGAGAGAGAGAGAGAGAAAGAGAGAGAAAAGAAAAAGGGAAUAUCACCCGAUGUUAUUUACGAGCUCGUACAACGAUCCCACAUGGAGAAGCGAACAAAUAAAUUGUCGAGUGAGCACUUCCGCGAUUCAUUGGCCAAAAAAAUACUCUCCCGAUGUUGCUCCAGUAACAAAUACAAACAAACUUCUUUAUUGCUUACAGUCGCAAUUAUAUA